GGAACUUAGAAAUACUUAAUGUUCUGAACAAUAUCAGAAAUACCUGAACACGAUGUUCAGGUAAGCUGCCACUGAGCCAUGGAUGGCGAAUUGGCAGCGGUUUCGUACGGAUAGAACAGGUGUAGCAGAACAUUUAGUAUUUCUUAGUUUC
rnacentral:ncRNA from 1 species